rnacentral:rRNA from 1 species
GGCCUUUUGAUUAUAAUUUAAGGUCUAGCCUGCCCAAUGAAAUAUAUUUAAAUGGCUGCAGUAUUUUGACUGUACAAAGGUAGCAUAAUCAUUAGUUUUUUAAUUGAAAGCUUGUAUGAAAGGUUUGAUGAGAAAUAUACUGUCUCUUUUUAAAUUUUUAUAGAAUUUUAUUUUUAAGUAAAAAAGCUUAAAUAAUUAUAGAAGACGAUAAGACCCUAUAGAGUUUUAUAUAAAUAUAUUAUAAAAUAUUUUAGUAUUUAUUUUUUUUAUGGUAUAAAUAUAUUUAGUUGGGGUGAUUAAAAAAUUUAAUAAACUUUUUUUAUAUAGAAUCAUAAAUAUAUGAAUAUUUGAUCUUAAAUUUUGGAUUAAAAGAAUAAAUUACCUUAGGGAUAACAGCGUAAUUUUUUUUUAGAGUUCAAAUUAAAAAAAAAGAUUGCGACCUCGAUGUUGGAUUAAAAAAAAGUAUUGGUGUAGAAGCUAAUAGAUUAGGUCUGUUCGACCUUUAAAAUUUUACAUGAUCUGAGUUUAAACCGGUGUGAGCCAGGU